rnacentral:rRNA from 1 species
UACGUAGGGUGCGAGCGUUAAUCGGAAUUACUGGGCGUAAAGCGUGCGCAGGCGGUUGGUUAAGUCUGAUGUGAAAGCCCCGGGCUCAACCUGGGAAUGGCAUUGGAAACUGGCUGGCUGGAGUGUGGCAGAGGGGGGUGGAAUUCCGCGUGUAGCAGUGAAAUGCGUAGAGAUGCGGAGGAACACCGAUGGCGAAGGCAGCCCCCUGGGCCAACACUGACGCUCAGGCACGAAAGCGUGGGGAGCAAACAGG